rnacentral:rRNA from 1 species
GACAGAGGGUGCAAACGUUGCUCGGAUUUACUGGGCGUAAAGCGCGUGUAGGCGGGAAGAAAAGUCGGGUGUGAAAUCCCUGGGCUCAACCUAGGAACUGCAUUCGAAACUUUCUUUCUGGAGUGAUGGAGAGGAGAGCGGAAUUCCCGGUGUAGAGGUGAAAUUCGUAGAUAUCGGGAGGAACACCAGUGGCGAAGGCGGACUCUCUGGCCAUCAACUGACGCUGAGACGCGAAAGCGU